AAGCCAGCUGUCAAAAGUAAAUAAGACGACCAUCAAGAAGGAAGAUCAAGACUACAACACCAAGUUUGAAGACGAUAUUUACAAAGAAAUAAUGGACUGUGUGAGGGUUGAGUGGUGGUGGUGAGUUGAGUGGUGGACAGAGCACUGGAGGCGGCGGUGUGUCGUUACGGAAGAUUCCACCGCAGCGGAGACGGAGGAUCAACCUUACAACAGCGAUGUACUGUUGAUGCUGCUAUGACCAUCACAUGAUGCUGUUGUUGACUCUCCAGAUUGGUGUCCAGUGGUGCAUCCUUGAGCAGUAACGUUGGUUUGCUGGUUUUUCCCCGAGGUGCGAUCGUAGGUAUGACAAUGGUGCUGCCCACUAGAACUGCUACUAGUACUGUCACUACCACUAGUCCUCCUCCUAGUACUGUCACGACCACUAGUGCUGCUGCUACUGUGAGUGUUAUAAAAUAAUUUUCUUGGGAUCAGUACUUACCGAGAUAAGAAACAUGAAAAUGACAAAAGUUAAUGACUAGCGGCAACAUCGUCGACUUCUGCUGCUCUCCGUAUUUUUGUUUUUACUUUUAUUGAAUGAUUUUCUUUUCUAAAAUUUUUUCCAACAAAUUUUGUGGGCUGUGAGACCAAUAUAAUGAAUAAUGUAUAUAUAUCCAUUCUUCACACCAACCCAGUAACUGCACACAUUGUUUGCAGAACUUGCUUACACAAAUGAACAUAAAUAUUUAUUACUGAUGUUUUAAAGUAUACAGAUGGAGCAUUACAGUGCGGCAUUAAUCGGUCCAUCACUUUAAAACACCCUGUAUAUAUAUGUAGUGCUGAAUAGGUAAAACUUGUGAUUUUUGGCUGAAAUAACAACACUUCUUGUGGAAUAAGGCAAGCGGAAAUUUGUGUAUGCAAUAAUUUCGCAAAAAUCAUUCUGAACCAAACAACAAAGUUUCCUUGUUUAUUAAAUUCUAAAUUUGUCUAAAAUGUAUUUAGUUCGAUUAAGCUAAAUUAAAUUACGGUUGCUAUAAUAAGGUUACGUAAGUUUUCUAGGGUUCUUUUGAUACAAAAUUAAUUUUUACAUAAAAAUAUUUUUAUACGAAUAUUAGUAUUUUAAAAAGGGCUUAAUUUUAAACACGUUUUAGCUAAUUGAGCAAUUUUACCUAUUAGACACGACAUUAUAUAUAUCAAUCACUGGACAUGAUCCUAGGACAGCAGCAGUCUGUGGAAAUCUUUGAAUCAUAGUGCUGUACACAGUGCUGUUUUAUACUCCAUACACACAACUAAUGUGUUCGCAUUUUUGUGAGGUGGUGGUUGUAUGUGCACAGACAAAACACCUCUGACAAAAUUAUUUCUUAAUAAGAGGCAGUUUUGUUAGGUAGUGGUACCAAGACAUCAAACGAGAGGCUAUUUGAUGAUCAGUUUUCACACUGUUUUGUGUCACAGAUAUUACCUGGUUCUUCUAUAUUGUCUGAUGACAAACAAAAUUCUCCAUUUAGUGGUCUUUCUGCUCCUCAUUUUGCUGUAAGACCCUUGUAGGUUCAACGCUUUUUUUUAUUACAAUAAUAAUGGUCCUCAUCUUCAUAUUAUAAGCACUGAGUAUGAUAAUGUCCAUUAAAUAUAAAAAGUUUAAUGCACCACUUAUAAGUUUGGACAAAUGUGACAUGUAGCAAACCCAAUCUGCAUGUUACAUUGGUCUACUGAACUCAUAUUGAGAGCGUAACCCAGUAAUAGACAAGUUUUAGAAUUGGUUCA